rnacentral:lncRNA from 1 species
CGAUCUUGAUGUUAAGGAUUUUAUAGGUUGGCGAAUUUCGUAAUGUUGAAUGGAGUCUUGAAGAGUGGAUUGCGGAAGAUUGAAGAAAAGAUCCAAAUUGAAGAACAAAGACUCAUUCGGAAAGCUCGGCAUCUCAGGUAUGAAGAAUAGAUGAUUUAUGGUGAAGAUGUUUAAUUGUAAUAAGUUUAGAAGGCUUAGAUUGCUUUAAAUUCUUUUACUGAACUUUUAUGUGUUCUGGGACCGGUCCCUGGAUUGAAGAGACCGGUUCCCUUAAGGUCCUCACUGUGUAAAUGUUGAGGGAACUGGUCCCCUGGGAUGAGAGACCGGUUUCCGAACAUUGGAAUUUCUGUCGCGCAGCGAGGGACCGGUCUCUGGCUUGAGAGACCGGUUCCCGAACGUUGUGAUUCUUGUCACGCAGCGAGGGACCGGUCUCUCACUUGAGAGACCAGUCUCUCACAGACCGGUCUCCUCGAGAGGACCGGUCUCUAAGGACGACACCUGUUUUUAAAAAGAACUUUUUGCAAUCCUAGUAUACUUCUAAGUCUUCUAAACAUAUAAAUAAGCUAUGGGGGUCAUCUUAAAGUUUAAAGCUUUGAAUAUUUACUGAUUCUAAACCCUAGAAACUUGUUUUUCCGUUCCAAUGAUUCUACUCACAUAACAAGUUUCGAAAAAUCAACAAUCGACUUGGUUCUUUGAUUUUACUCGAGAUCUUAUUUGAGAAUCAAGUUGAUGUUUGAUUAGAAGACGGACCCUCAUAGCUUAUGGGAUUCUAAAGCUUAAUCACCACAAAUCUUCGAUUCUACAAGCUCCGGAAGGAGAUUCGGCGCGUGGAUCUCGCGUGUAGCCGAGGAUUCGGUAGACGCUUCGAGGAGUUGAGGCGUUGACGCUGCGAGGAGUUGCAGCUAGGUCGAUUGGAGGAUUCCUAUCGAUCGAGGACCGGCGAAGAUCACCAUCAACAAGAAAUCGGUAAAUUGAGUCGUGUAUUUUUGUCAAAAUCACUUGUACUCAAGUUUUCUUAGUGGAUUUUCUUCGCGUGAUCGGUCCCGUGGGUUUUUCACUCCGAAUUGGAGUUUUCCCACGUUAAAUUCUCGGUGUGCUGUUUUAUUUUCCGCUAUUUCGUUUUAUUUGCAUCGAGAUUUUUGAGUUUGCCGUUUUUACACCUAUUCACCCCCCUCUAGGUGUUACUUACCUUUUAGAUCCUCGGGAUCCAUAUCUUA